rnacentral:rRNA from 1 species
CCUCGCUUUUGUGUACCGUAAGGUGGUACACGAAYAAGRGCUGGGCAAGACCGGUGCCAGCCGCCGCGGUAAUACCGGCAGCCCAAGUGAUGGCCGAUAUUAUUGGGCCUAAAGCGUUCGUAGCUGGCCAGACAAGUCCGUUGGGAAAUCCGCAUGCUUAACGUGCGGGCGUCCAGCGGAAACUGUCCGGCUUGGGACCGGAAGACCCGAGGGGUACGUCCAGGGUAGGAGUGAAAUCCUGUAAUCUUGGACGGACCACCUGUGGCGAAAGCGCCUCGGGAAGACGGAUCCGACAGUGAGGAACGAAAGCCAGGGUCUCGAACCGGAUUAGAUACCCGGGUAGUCCUGGCUGUAAACGAUGUCCGCUAGGUGUGACGCAGGCUA